GGUGGUUGUAGGAGUUCCUCUGCUGCAGGAAGGCGGCCGCGGCCGCCUGAUGCUGCUGCUGGAGCUGCGGGCUGACGGGUGACCUCCGGCUCUGAGGCUGCUGCGGCGCCGCGGGCGGCGGGGGCUGCUGCUGCUGAGAUUCAUGAACAGUGAGAUUCGAGGCUGAAACCGACCUACUAAAUUGGAGUCCUACGUGCUGCAACAUCGCCUUGCUAGUCUGGUCAUGGGUGGAGCCCUGGGAUGCAUGUUGGAUAUAGAGGCACUGGGCAUGCAUGCAAGGAAGAAGACAGAGUAUAAAGAAGUCUACUGAAGCAGGCAAUGAAUAAGAGUUCCUGCUGCUCCACAUCCUCACCAGCAUUUGGUUUGCCAGCGUUCUGGAUUUUGGCCAUUCUAACAGGUGGGUUGUUUGUGGUCAGAUGCCUGGUGAACCGGUCGUUUCAAACCCAGCUGAAUGCAAUUGCCUUUUUAAGACAGAAUGACAGGCACAAAAGGAAGACACAGUCCGUGAAAGAGCCAGUGACGCCAGCAGAGAACGGCAUUGACAAGAUAUUGAUGUCUGGGUCCAGGGGAAACCAGAUAGGAUUUUAAUCACCUGCAGAUGGGCACAAAGAACAAGAGCUGGAGUCCUUCAACAAAUUUCCAGUACAUCCCUCUACCUCCAAAGGUGGCAGCCUGAUGGGACUUCUUGAAACAUGGCUUGGAGAAUGUCAGUCUCUUAUUCCAAAGCCUUCAAUGUACCUCCUGCAGAGUUGAGUCCAAGUUCUGGCACAAAGUUCUCCACCAGGUAGUACCAACUGACCUUUCCAACUGGACUCCCAUAUUCCCAGUAAGGUGUCUUAGACUCUGGAGUCUGUAGUCCUUUCACUUUUGUGUAGGCAGAUACCAUACCCCCUGUCAUUUGAAUACAUUGAGAAGCAGGGCCCAAAGGCCAGGUGAAGGGGUUCUCAAACAUUUUGUUCUAGAGAAAAAAUGACUCAUCAUGCUCGCUUCAUAUGAAUGAUCUUUUAAGAGCCAUGACAAUGAUCCUCAUUAUACGGGCAUGGUCAUACAAUCUUUUAAAAAAAUUUUUUUAUUGAAGUAUCAUUGAUUUACAAUAUUG